GAUUUAUAAAGAAGAGGCGAGAGAACAGGCUCGAUGACCCUCUGGCAACCAUUCAAAAACUAUGAAAAGGUGCCAAAACCUGCCCAUUUGGGAACUAUAAAUU
rnacentral:ncRNA from 2 species